rnacentral:rRNA from 1 species
GAUGAACGCUGGCGGCGUGCCUAAUACAUGCAAGUCGAGCGAACGGACGAGAAGCUUGCUUCUCUGAUGUUAGCGGCGGACGGGUGAGUAACACGUGGAUAACCUACCUAUAAGACUGGGAUAACUUCGGGAAACCGGAGCUAAUACCGGAUGAUAUUUUGAACCGCAUGGUUCAAAAGUGAAAGACGGUCUUGCUGUCACUUAUAGAUGGAUCCGCGCUGCAUUAGCUAGUUGGUAAGGUAACGGCUUACCAAGGCAACGAUGCAUAGCCGACCUGAGAGGGUGAUCAGCCACACUGGAACUGAGACACGGUCCAGACUCCUACGGGAGGCAGCAGUAGGGAAUCUUCCGCAAUGGGCGAAAGCCUGACGGAGCGACGCCGCGUGAGUGAUGAAGGUCUUCGGAUCGUAAAACUCUGUUAUUAGGGAAGAACAUAUGUGUAAGUAACUGUGCACAUCUUGACGGUACCUAAUCAGAAAGCCACGGCUAACUACGUG